GUGGAGAUAGGACAGAGGUCUCAGAGCUGCCUGCCUUUCCCCCCCGAACCAGUGCUGCUUUCCCCGCAAGGAGCAAGGCUGCUUUGCCCAGCCUGCUCUGGGGUACUUUAUCCAGAGGUCUCCUCCCCGGCCCUGCACCCUCUGACCUUGGGCCCCAGGAACAGCCUUGGCAUCAGAGAAAAUCUAGUUUGGGACUGAGUGCAGACCUCGCCUCCUCAGAGAGGUCUGCCCUUGCCACCCUAGCUAAAGUUUCCUCUUGGACCUCCUCCACCCCUGCCCAACCCUCGCGCUCUCUGGUCAUUGCCUCUCCAUCAAGAGUUCCCCACUGGGGCUCCUGGCACCUAAUGGCCGUGGAGGAACCAAUGUGGUACCUCAGCCAUUUUCAAUGUUUCCAAUAACUUGGCAGAGACAGGACAUUAACUAGAUAACUAAUUGGAGUGCCUGGUUCAGCAUUGCCUCAAUGUUCUGUAGACCCUGUGUGUUCUCCAGAAAAGCGUUGUGGUCAACCACUCAUAGAAAACUCGGUUAAAGGGGACCUUCAAAGCCAGGCUUUCAAAGCCUUGCAUGUGCUAAUGUGCAUCAGUGGGAAAGUGAUGGUGAUAGAAUCCACUGUCUCCCCAGCAUGUUUGAUGGCAGAGCUCUUUUUAGCCCGGAAUAUCUAUGGAGCCAUGGCAUGAGGACCACUCCAUUCAUUGAAGUCUUAGCUUUUGGUUAGAGUCCAGUUAGGGUGACAACUGGUGGCUUCUUCAGUUCUAGCUGACAGGUAUGAAAGCCACUGAUGAAGGAACAAUGGAGAGGCAAAGUGUAGUCAGUACUGUUCAGUGGACAAAACCUAAAUGUGGACAUUAUUAAGAGAAAGACAUUAAAGGAUUCUGAGGUGAAAGGGCUGGGUCUUUGUCCUGAUUGGCUAUCGAGCCCAACCAUGUGUGACCAGGCACUGGCGGAUGGUGGGGGGCUCUCCAGUUGGUCCACACGGCCGUGCCAAGGGUGAUCUGGCCCUCCCUACUGCGUGUGCUGUGUGCUCGUUACCUAACCUGUAAAGUGAGGAUCGGAGCCUCCACCUAGUGAUCCGAGUGGCUGAGAAUCUAAGGAGAUGGCAGGUGUGUGCAAGCUUGGGAAGAGGUUGACGGCUGUGCAGAGCUGGGUAUCCAGGGGGCUGAGGGAAGCUUUCCUAGCAGCUGUCCUUUGGGUCAAGAGGCCCCCGCUAAACUUGCAGCUCAGUGUGGUGGGUGGUCUUGCUGACGGGCACCACCAUGGAGCUUGUGGGUUAGGCAGAAUCAUGGCCUCAGUCCUACUGAAUUAGAAUCCUCAUUUUAACAGGACCCUCUGGUGUCUCACAGGCACAUGGAAGUCUGGGAAACGCUGGUCUGCACUCUCCCUCUUCGGGACUCCUUUGUAUGAUCCUUGGUCCAUUUUCUGGGGUGAAACAGGAGCACUAACUACCCCCGGCACCCAUGUCCCUCUGCCAUCCCCACUCUCCUGCUGGAACUCUCCUCUGGCUCCCUGCUGCCUUCAGGAUCAAGUCCAAGCUUCUUGGCCUGGCACAACAGGCAUUUCUGCAGCUGGCCGUGAGCUGACCUUCUCCACACGCCCCCAUCUCCACCAUCUACAGCCACCAGGCCACUAGGUAUGUCCUAUCUCAUCACCUUUGCCCAAGCAACUUCUUCCACCUAAGAUGUCCUUCCCCUCAUCUUCCCCUCCCCAUCCAUUCAUUCCUCCUCCCACUUUAUGGUCAGUUGAAGGUCCUGCAUCUCUGAAGCCUGCCCCGGCUCCCACAGCAGAAGGUGGCUUCCAGAGUGUUGUGUGUCCUUCCACGCAGCUCUUAUUACCACACACUCCGGUCUGACCAGAGACUGGCACUGGGUAAGUACCCAUGAGGACUGGACAGCCGGGAGAGUGGACGGAAGGUAGGAGCGAAAGGCUGUCACCCUGGGGUGUCCUGGGCACUGUGAGAGAAGAGUUAGCCAGGCCUGCCAAGGCUGUGGCCGGCACGCAGAGCAGCCAAUAUCGGCUGACCUCUCACACACUCAUCACUGUAUUUUUCCCUUCAGCUUUACAAUCCCCAACACAACUCUAGGUGUCGCUGUCAACCAACUGAGGUGACGUGAGAGGGAACCUCUACCAUCUCUGGUCUAGCUUAGUCACAGUACCAACUUGGGUAGAAGCUCUAAGGAGGAGCAGUGCACUUGGGGGUAGCAGAAGGGGAUAGGUGUGCUCCUAGCUCUCUUUUUGUACCUCCAGAAACUGGCACUCAAUGUUUGCUUCGUUCACAGAAGACCUCUGCACCCUACCU